rnacentral:lncRNA from 1 species
CGUGUGAUGUGUGCGCUCAUGCUCCUGAUCACGGAAGCCAUACGCUCCAGGAGCUCCAGCCAUGCUUCUGACAGGCGUCUGCUGAUCAGUAAAAUUGCGAUAAAACAAUCUGCAAAAAUUGACGAGGACGGUCUAGACACGAAGACGUAUGGAUGGCGUCCGCGCCUCCUCCGGAACCAACUGCACGACAUUGAGGGACGCUUCCAAAGGCAGUCGCGUGGUAUGCGUCCUUAUAAAAUAUUAGUAGGUUAAAUGUCGGAAACUUUAUGGAUAAUUUUUCUACUAUGCGCACGUGCUAACAUUACUGGCUCAACAUCAUAGGUCGACAUCGUGUUACGAGGCAUGUCCUGCUUAUUGGGUUGUACUUCAUAGCUGCGAAAGCCCCUGGUAUUUAUGGCAUUGAAGGUCUCUGCUUCGCUGCCAGUGUGGAUGGUGGUCCAUUGGAUCACCUCUCUCAGCUACUCCUUCCAAGGACGUGUUUGCUCUGCCUGCUUGUUGUUAAUUCUCGGGCUUCGGGCUUUUUAUGAAUGAGCCUAUUGUUAUGCGCACAUGUUAACAUCUUUUGGCUCAAUAUCAUACGUAGACAUCGUUUCACGAGGCAUGUCCUGCUUGUUGGGUUGUGCUUCAUAGCUGGGUAAGCCCCUGGUAUUUAUGGCAUGGAAGAUCUCCGGCGCGCUGCAAGUGUGGAUGGUGAUCCAUUGGAUCACCGCUCUCAACGUGCAUUUUAUCUUCGACCGCCCCACAGUCGCAUCUGCAGAUGCUUGAAUCAAGGUGUUUAGACGCAGUAUCCCUGCUUAAACUCUUCGUAUGGCACGAUAUUGCAGAAAUGGCCAGGAUGCGCAGCUUCGUCAGCCUGCUUUUUAUGUUUCAAGUUUUACUUCGUUUGAUCAUAUACCCGCUGUAGAAUUGCAUUGGUUUUUUUUACGCACUUGCAUUGCCAUCGCCUCGCGCCUGUAUGGCACUGUGUGUUUCCGUGUCACGGCACCCUUCUAUUAGGAUUGGGCCCCCCAGCCAAAAUUAACGUUUUACCGAAUCAGUCACACGAUAACAGCUCCACGAUAAGGAUUACGACACGACCAAGAGGAUUCGGAUUGGGACCCCAGCCUCAGAGUUAGGAUUACGGUCCGGCCCCAGGAUUAGGAUUGGGACCCCCCCCAGGAUUGGGAUUGGGACCCGGCCACANNNNNNNNNNNNNNNNNNNNNNNNNNNNNNNNNNNNNNNNNNNNNNNNNNUGACUCAGCUUCGUCGUACCAUGCUGGUUAUCACCUGUGUGAUGUUGUGGCUGCGAUAGGCAGGCGUCGUUCUGCAGGUUUAACCGGACCUGUCGAGUUCUGGUACGACCCUCCGGUAUCUGCUUCUGAUGCUGACGUCGCUCCCUUACCUUUCUCCGUUUCGGAAGGUUUGACUAUGCAAUUUCGAGGUAAAGUGUGUCAGUCCGACGCUUCCAUCCUCAUCGAUAGCGGAAGCAUGCCUUCAGCCCUUUUAAGUGCAGGUUUUGCUCGUCGCGUCGGUUUGGCGGUUCAACCGUCGGACAACGCACAUCCCGCUCUCACCGUCACUUUGGGUGAUGGUCGGACUACGACUUCGGUAGGGUUUGCUGAGGUACCUAUUCGCUUGCAGGGUUACAAAGCUAGGUUGCAGUGUGCCGUGCUUGAUCUCGCUCCUGGUUAUGACUUGGUGCAGAGGGAUGCAAAGAUUAGGGAUUGGGUUCGGGUACCGGUCAGGCAGGAAUUAGGAUUAGGAAUGAGGGGCAGGAUUAGGAUACAAAGUUGAGGCCAGGUUUAGGAUGAGGACCCGAGUGUAGGAUUAGGAUUGGGACCCGGCCCCAGGAUUAGGAUUGCGACCCGGCCCCAGGAUUAGGAUUGGGACCCGGCCCCAGGAUUAGGAUAAAUACCUAUAUCCAGGAUUACGAUUAGUACACUGGUAUUGGAUUAAGAUUAGGGCACCGCAAUAAUUGGCAAUUAGGAUACUGCUAUGUAAGAGGACUAUCAAAUCCAGCUACCGUUCAGACUGGGUUAGAAAGUUGCUAUGCCAUGUCAUACUAAGUGAUGUCGCGUGUGAUGUGUGCGCUCAUGCUCCUGAUCACGGAAGCCAUACGCUCCAGGAGCUCCAGCCAUGCUUCUGACAGGCGUCUGCUGAUCAGUAAAAUUGCGAUAAAACAAUCUGCAAAAAUUGACGAGGACGGUCUAGACACGAAGACGUAUGGAUGGCGUCCGCGCCUCCUCCGGAACCAACUGCACGACAUUGAGGGACGCUUCCAAAGGCAGUCGCGUGGUAUGCGUCCUUAUAAAAUAUUAGUAGGUUAAAUGUCGGAAACUUUAUGGAUAAUUUUUCUACUAUGCGCACGUGCUAACAUUACUGGCUCAACAUCAUAGGUCGACAUCGUGUUACGAGGCAUGUCCUGCUUAUUGGGUUGUACUUCAUAGCUGCGAAAGCCCCUGGUAUUUAUGGCAUUGAAGGUCUCUGCUUCGCUGCCAGUGUGGAUGGUGGUCCAUUGGAUCACCUCUCUCAGCUACUCCUUCCAAGGACGUGUUUGCUCUGCCUGCUUGUUGUUAAUUCUCGGGCUUCGGGCUUUUUAUGAAUGAGCCUAUUGUUAUGCGCACAUGUUAACAUCUUUUGGCUCAAUAUCAUACGUAGACAUCGUUUCACGAGGCAUGUCCUGCUUGUUGGGUUGUGCUUCAUAGCUGGGUAAGCCCCUGGUAUUUAUGGCAUGGAAGAUCUCCGGCGCGCUGCAAGUGUGGAUGGUGAUCCAUUGGAUCACCGCUCUCAACGUGCAUUUUAUCUUCGACCGCCCCACAGUCGCAUCUGCAGAUGCUUGAAUCAAGGUGUUUAGACGCAGUAUCCCUGCUUAAACUCUUCGUAUGGCACGAUAUUGCAGAAAUGGCCAGGAUGCGCAGCUUCGUCAGCCUGCUUUUUAUGUUUCAAGUUUUACUUCGUUUGAUCAUAUACCCGCUGUAGAAUUGCAUUGGUUUUUUUUACGCACUUGCAUUGCCAUCGCCUCGCGCCUGUAUGGCACUGUGUGUUUCCGUGUCACGGCACCCUUCUAUUAGGAUUGGGCCCCCCAGCCAAAAUUAACGUUUU